CCUACGGGUGGCAGCAGUGAGGAAUAUUGGUCAAUGGGCGCGAGCCUGAACCAGCCAAGUAGCGUGAAGGAUGACUGCCCUACGGGUUGUAAACUUCUUUUAUAAAGGAGUAAAUGGAGGCACGUGUGCCUUUUUGUCUGUACUUUAUGAAUAAGGAUCGGCUAACUCCGUGCCAGCAGCCGCGGUAAUACGGAGGAUCCGAGCGUUAUCCGGAUGUAUUGGGUUUAAAGGGAGCGUAGAUGGGUUGUUAAGUCAGUUGUGAAAGUUUGCGGCUCAACCGUAAAAUUGCAAUUGAUACUGGCAGCCUUGAGUACAGUUGAGGUAGGCGGAAUUCGUGGUGUAGCGGUGAAAUGCUUAGAGAUCACGAAGAACUCCGAUUGCGAAGGCAGCCUACUAAACUGCCACUGACAUUGAUGCUCGAAAGUGUGGGGAUCAAACAGGAUUAGAUACCCCUGUAGUC
rnacentral:rRNA from 1 species